CGGGGCGUAGCGCAGCUUGGUAGCGCACCUGCUUUGGGAGCAGGGGGUCGCAGGUUCAAAUCCUGUCGCCCCGACCA
rnacentral:tRNA from 2 species